AUUGAACGCUGGCGGCAGGCUUAACACAUGCAAGUCGAGCGGUAACAGAGAGAAGCUUGCUUCUCUGCUGACGAGCGGCGGACGGGUGAGUAAUGCCUAGGAAUCUGCCUAGUAGUGAGGGAUAACUUGCCGAAAGGUAAGCUAAUACCGCAUACGUCCUACGGGAGAAAGGAGGGGACCUUCGGGCCUUUCGCUAUUAGAUGAGCCUAGGUCGGAUCAGUUAGUUGGUAAGGUAAUGGCUCACCAAGACCGCGAUCCGUAACUGGUCUGAGAGGAUGAUCAGUCACACUGGAACUGAGACACGGUCCAGACUCCUACGGGAGGCAGCAGUGGGGAAUAUUGGACAAUGGGGGGAACCCUGAUCCAGCCAUGCCGCGUGUGUGAAGAAGGUCUUAGGAUUGUAAAGCACUUUAAGUUGGGAGGAAGAGCAGUUAACUAAUAUUUGACUGUUUUGACGUUACCGACAGAAUAAGCACCGGCUAACUUCGUGCCAGCAGCCGCCGUAA
rnacentral:rRNA from 1 species